GACUGGAUAAACGCUGAAAGCAUCUAAGCGUGAAGCCAACCUCAAGAUGAGAUUUCCCAUAGCGUAAGCUAGUAAGACUCCUGGAAGAACACCAGGUUGAUAGGUCAGAGAUGUAAGCAUGGCAACAUGUUAAGUUGACUGAUACUAAUAAGUCGAGGGCUUGACCAAAUAA
rnacentral:rRNA from 1 species